ensembl:lncRNA
AUGGUUCAAGAAAGAUGUCCUUGGAAGGAAAAAGAAGGUUGGAUUCAGCGCAUCAUUUUUACUUUACAGAGUCCUAUCUUUACAGCAGUCCUUCUCAACUCCAGGUCCGGGAGAAAAGUAAGCCCUGAGGUCCUGAGACAUCCAUGGAAUAGAAUCAAUUCACUUUCCCCCUGCACUCCUGGAAUGAUCCUUGCUAAGUACUAGUAGCUUUUGGAACAUUGAGAAAAAAAAAUUCACUCCCAUUAUGUUCUUCAGCGCUUAAUCCUCUCACAGAGCCUCUUUAAAAGGCUGGCCUAUUCUCUGCUGCGCCUGCCCAGUGUUUUAUUUGGGCCCCACCCUACAUAGUCAGGCACCUUCUUCUAAGAAGGAGCCAACUCACUAUGUCCCAUGUAAAAGACAACAGCCAGGCCAGAGCCAUCUGGAGAGUUCUAGCCCAGCUCCAGAAGGCGGGUACUACCUGGCAUGUUCACUCUGGAUUUAAAAUCUAGUCUGGGCAGUUAAAAAUGGUAGCCACUAGCCAUAUAGCUAUUUAGAUUUAAAUUUAAAUAGAAUUUCAAAUUUAGUUCCCUGGUUUCACUAGCCACAUCUCAAGUGUUUGAUAGCCACCAUAUUGAAUAGCUUCCAUCACUACCGACAGUUUUAUUUUGCUGUUGUUUGUUUGUUUUUUGGUUUUGAGACAGAGUUUUUCACUCUUGUUGCUCAGGCUGGAGUGCAAUGGCACGAUCUUGGCUCACUGCAACCUCUGCUGCCCGGGUUCAAGUGAUUCUCCUGCCCCAGCCUCCCGAGUAGCUGGGAUUAUAGGCAUGCACCACCACGCCCAGCUAAUUUUGUAUUUUUAGUAGGGACGGGGUUUCUCCAUGUUGGUCAGUCUGGUCUCGAACUCCUGACCUCAGGUGUUCCACCCGCCUAGGCCUCCGAAAGUGCUGGGAUUACAGGCAUGAGCCACUGCGCCCGGCCUACCACCAACAGUUUUAUUGGAGGGCCCUGGUAGACUGUGAUUGUGAGGUGAGCCCGGAACUACACCAAGAGGACAUCCUUGCUCCAGACUUCACUGAGUCCACAGAGGGAAUACUUGAGAAUGUCCAAGCCCACAUCAUGGGAUGAGAACUAUAUGCAGCUAUUCCGUAGCUCUAAAAAUAAAUAAUUAUAAUAUUAAAGACAUCAACUUAAACAUAGAUAUGAACACUAAAUAGAUAAACACUAAAGUCAAUUGGUAUUAACUUCCCAUCUCUGCAGCAUGCUGUGGGGCAAAGAGUGGUGCUGGUCUGGGUACAUCCGUGUCUCCCUUGUCCUGCUCCCAGAUCCAACUGCUCCUUUCAUUUCUCUCCAUCUACAUUGAAAUGUUUUCUAUACACAGUGUAGGGAGUUUUCAGGCUCUCCUUUUGCAAUGCUCAAAGUGAUUUUUUUUUUUGUCUCCUUAGCUUGCUAAGGAAAUCUGGCAAAUGUUGGGUAGAAGCAUGUACAUUCUAGCUCUUCGGAAAAAGUUUUACAUAUUUUUUCCAAUUUUGUUAUUGUGGUGAAAUAUGCAUAACAUGAAAGUUACCAUUUUAACCAUUUUCAAGUGUACAGUUCAGUGGUAUUCAAUACCAUCAUAAGCUCAGGCAGCCAUCAUCAUAGUCCUUCUCCAGAACUUUCUCACACUCCUGCUCUGAAAUUCUGUGCCCAUUAAACACUAACUCCCCAUUCCCCGCCUCCCAGUCCCUGGCAACCACCGUUCUAUUCUCUGUAUAUGAAUCUGACAGCUCUAGGUUCCUUGUACAAAUGGAAUCAUGGGAUAUUUGUAUUUUUGUGACUGGCGUCUUUCACUUAGCAUAAUGUCCUCAGGGUUCAUUCAUGUUCUAAUCGGUGGCAAAAUUUCCUUCCCUUUUAAAGCUGAAUAAUACUCCAUUGCGUGUACAUUUUUAAUUUAUUUUUUUAAUUUAACAUUAAUGGAUUAGUA